rnacentral:rRNA from 1 species
UAGGGAAUAUUGCACCAUGGGCGAAAGCCUGAUGCAGCAACGCCGCGUGAGUGAUGAAGGCCCUCGGGUCGUAAAACUCUUUUCAAGAGGAAGAGGAAGGACGGUACUCUUGGAAUAAGCCUCGGCUAACUACGUGCCAGCAGCCGCGGUAACACGUAGGAGGCGAGCGUUAUUCGGAUUUACUGGGCGUAAAGCGCGUGUAGGCGGCUUAUUAAGUUGGAUGUGAAAGCUCCUGGCUUAACUGGGAGAGGACGUUCAAAACUAGUAAGCUUGAGUACGAGAGAGGAAAAUGGAAUUCCGGGUGUAGUGGUGAAACGCGUAGAUAUCCGGAGGAACACCAGUGGCGAAGGCGGCCUUCUGGACCAUCACUGACGCUCAGACGCGAAAGCUAGGGUAGCAAACG